AGUCGUAACAAGGUUUCCGUAGGUGAACCUGCGGAAGGAUCAUUAACACGUAUCCAAACGUUAAACCCCCCUGUGAACCUCACCUGUACUCGUACGUCCGUUAGAAAAAGCAGCAAUCCCUGGUAGUCUGCAAGGAGCGUGCAUGUUGUGCGAAGCAAGUGGCCUGGCAUCCCCAAGCAGUUAGUGUCUGAAAGUGUCAUUACCUGUGUAAGGAUGACGCAGUCACGAUCGUUGGAGGCCCACACGGCCGACGACCGGGUCGCUGGGCGCAAGCCCCCCUAUAACAAACCCCCUGCCAAUCGCGGCCGCGAUAAUACGCAGUCGACCAAAAACCGAACAACUGUUAACAAUGGAUAUCUUGGUUCUC
rnacentral:misc_RNA from 1 species